rnacentral:rRNA from 1 species
UACAGGGGGUGCAAACGUUGCUCGGAAUCAUUGGGCGUAAAGCGCACGUAGGCGGUUCGUUAUGUCGGAUGUGAAAGCCCUUGGCUUAACCGAGGAAGUGCAUCCGAAACUGGCGAGCUAGAGUACUAAAGAGGAUCGCGGAAUUCCCGGUGUAAAGGUGAAAUUCGUAGAUAUCAGGAGGAACACCUGUGGCGAAAGCGGCUCACUGGACCACAACUGACGCUGAGGCGCGAAAGCUAGGGGAGCAAACAGG